rnacentral:antisense_RNA from 1 species
AGUCACUGCAAGAGGGCAUGGAUUCAGGGAAAUAUGAAAAAUUGAGGCUUUAAUGCAAUCCAUCUAUCAUAAAAGAGACGCGGUUUUCCUAGGUUGCUCCUGCUGGUCUCCAACUCCUGAGCUCAAGUAAUCCUCCUGCCUCAGCCUCCCAAAGUGCUAGGAUUACAGGUAAAUGAUGUCUUGCUUGGGAAUAGAACCCUUGGAGCAUGUAAAUGGAAUACCACGGUCUUCCAGCUCCUAUUGCAGGGCUGCUUUGUGUGUGGGAAAGCUGAUGGCAGAUCACGGAAAGACGGCCCAUCAUAGAACCACACACACGUGAUCACAGGCAUGACACAAAACAAUGAAGCUUGGUACCUUCCUCUCGCCACAGGAUGUUUGCAACUGCAGCAGCAGAGAAUGAAGAAAGCAGGAAUGUGAUGGAGGGAAGGAAAAAGAAGAAAGCAGUGUUAAACCUUCACUGUAGUGAUU